UUGGUAAAUAAACUAAAACAAGCAAAAAGAUAGGAAGAGGAUCCAAACUCUCAAACCCCAAGUCCACUCUUUCUAUUAUGGAUUCACUCCACAUUUGGUUUUGCAUUUCCUUUCUGAAAAAUUUCCUUCUCAAUAUCUAAUCUUUUGAAAAAACUAGCCGUUGAAAAUCUAACAACUAAUUCGUCUCAAUAGAAAAUAUACUCUCUACUAUAUUAACUCUCAAUCUCUUAGUUAAAGAUUUUAAAAAUCUCCAUUGGAUUUCUUGCUCAAGAACCAAGAAGAAGAAGAAGAAGAAGAAGAAGAUGCGGAAAAUCUUAAUUUAGUUAGAUUUUGCUUAGAUUAAUUGUAAAGAAUGACUAAUUCAGGUCGCUGUGCUGCUUGCAAGCACUUAAGAAGAAGGUGCCCUUCAGAUUGCAUUUUCUCUCCUUAUUUUCCUUCCAAUAAUCCUCAAAGAUUCUCAUGUGUUCACAAAAUCUAUGGUGCCAGCAAUACAGCCAAAAUGCUCGAGCAAGUCCCAAGUCACCUGCGAGAUAAAGCCGCAGAUUCAUUAUAUUAUGAGGCGAAAUGUAGAAUGGAAGACCCAGUGUAUGGCUGUGUUGGAACAAUCACUCUGCUAUAUCAACACAUACACGAUGCAGAAAAUCAAUUAGCUAAAACUCGAGCCGAAAUCGCAGUCCUACUCACUACUCAUCAUGCACAACAAUCUCAAGCUACUACGAACCACAUCAGUUUGCCAACCCAAACCUUCUUUUAGCUUUAUGUAGAGGGUUUCAAGCAUGAAUUAUUAUUUAUUUUUAUGCUCUUUCAAUUUUUAUGAAUUAAAUUUAAUCUUUAUUUUAAAAUCAAUAUUACAACAAUGUGAUCAAUAAUCUCCAACGUCUCAACUCUGGUAUCCAUUCUGAUCGUGGUCAUCCGGCAGGUCGGACCAACUUGUUAGAGUAAGACCAAUUUGCUAGAGUAAAAGAAGGAUGCAAACAAUAUUCUCAAUAAAAGUUAAAGAUAAUCUGGUUUGAAUGAGGGAGAGGGAAGAUUUGUAUUAAGCCAAAUCUGUCAAAUACAGUUGCUAGCGAGUAUUCUUGAAAAUAAAGGGAAAACAGAAUUACAACCAAAGAAGGAAAAAAAAAAAAA